UUAGGUUGGUGCAAAAGUAAUUGCAGUUUUUGCCAUUAAAUGUAACUAUAAAAACUGCAAUCACUUUUGCACCAACCUAAUA
rnacentral:miRNA from 1 species